UGCAGUGUCCUCCUCCGAGCUGUGGGU
rnacentral:piRNA from 1 species